CAGGCAGACUCUGGAGAGCGGCCGCAUGCGGCCCACCGAAGGGGGCGUUGCCUGCAACGCAAACUCUCAGGUUUCAGGACAGAGGGGCGGCC
rnacentral:ncRNA from 2 species